rnacentral:misc_RNA from 1 species
GAAAUGCGAUACUUGGUGUGAAUUGCAGAAUCCCGUGAACCAUCGAGUCUUUGAACGCAAGUUGCGCCCGAAGCCAUUAGGCCGAGGGCACGUCUGCCUGGGCGUCACGCACAGCGUCGCCCCCAACCACACAUGCUGUGGAAGGGGAGCGGAUAUUGGCCCCCCGAGCCCCACCGGGCACGGUCGGCACAAAUGCCUGUCCCUGGCAGCGGUCGCCGCGGUCAAGUGGUGGCUUCAAAUACCAUUUCGGUGGCCGGUUGGCGCCGCGGCCCUAGUUGGGACAGAAUCGACCCGCAGAGGCCGUUCCGACGGCGUUUCACCCUGCGACCCCAGGUCAGGCGGGGCUACCCGCUGAGUUUAA